rnacentral:rRNA from 1 species
UGCUGACAUAAGUAACGAUAAAGCGGGUGAAAAGCCCGCUCGCCGGAAGACCAAGGGUUCCUGUCCAACGUUAAUCGGGGCAGGGUGAGUCGACCCCUAAGGCGAGGCCGAAAGGCGUAGUCGAUGGGAAACGGGUUAAUAUUCCCGUACUUGGUGUUACUGCGAAGGGGGGACGGAGAAGGCUAUGUUGGCCGGGCGACGGUUGUCCCGGUUUAAGCGUGUAGGUGUGUGUUCCAGGUAAAUCCGGUUCACUUUAACACUGAGGCGUGACGACGAGGCACUACGGUGCUGAAGCAAC